CUUGUCCUACGGGACGCAGCAGUGGGGAUUAUUGCACAAUGGGGGAAACCCUGAUGCAGCGACGCCGCGUGAAGGAAGAAGUAUCUCGGUAUGUAAACUUCUAUCAGCAGGGAAGAAAACAGACGGUACCUGACUAAGAAGCCCCGGCUAACUACGUGCCAGCAGCCGCGGUAAUACGUAGGGGGCAAGCGUUAUCCGGAUUUACUGGGUGUAAAGGGGGCGCAGACGGCCAUGGCAAGCCCGGUGUGGAAGGCAGGGGCAUAACCCCUGGACUGCACUGGGAACUGUCAGGCUGGAGUGGCGGG
rnacentral:rRNA from 1 species